rnacentral:rRNA from 15 species
AAUAUGCCAUCCAGUGAAUGGCUCGGCUCAAGAGCCGAUGAGGGACGUGCCAAGCUGCGAUAAGCCUCGGGUAGGUGCAUGGAACCAUUGAACCGAGGAUUUCCUAAUGGGAAUUCCUGCCUCCUUCGGGAGGCGAUCCGUAAGGAUCGGGAACGCCCCGGAUUGAAACAUCUUAGUAGGGGCGGGAAAAGAAAUCAAAGAGAUGCCGUUAUUAAAGGCGAUCGAACACGGCACAGUUCAAACUGAAUCCUGCUUCGAGAGAAGUCAAGGAGAUGUAGUGUUGUAAGCCAAGCCAUAAUACAGUCCAAACUAAUUAAGCCGAAGUCCCCUGGAAAGGGGCGCCGAAGAGUGUGAUAGCCACGUAGACGCAAGUUAGUGGAUUGUGGUUUGGUCUUGAGUACCGUGGGUUGGAUAUCUCGCGGGAAUUUGGGAGGCACCAACUUCCAAAACUAAAUACAUUCUUGAGACCGAUAGCGCAAUAGUACCGUGAGGGAAAGCUGAAAAGUACCCUAAAAAGGGGGGUGCAAAGAGCCUGAAAUUGGGUGGUGAUGGAGCGAUAUGGCAUAAAAGGAACUUCAUCGUGAAGGAAUAUGGGGCGACCCAUUAGUACGAGCGAUGUUGCCAGUGUCAUAUCAUACGUUUUGAAGAACGGGCCAGGGAAUGUAUCCAAGUGGCGAGACUAAGUUGAGACCAACGAAGUCAAAGCGAAAGCGACAAGCGCGCAACCUUCGGGUGAGGCGCGGCGUGUAUAAGCGCGUGAAGUCACUAGGUUACGACCCGGAACCAGGCGAUCUAGGCGUGGGCAGGAUGAAGCGUGACGAAAGUUGCGUGGAGGUCCCUAGCGGUGUUGAUAUGCAAAUCACUCGUGUGACCUGCGUCUAGGGGUGAAAGUCCAAUCGAGCUUGGAGACAGCUGGUUCCUUCCGAAACAUGUCGCAGCAUGACCUGAUCAGAGAUAGUCAGCAGAGUAGAGCGCACUGAUUAGAGGAGCUGGGCGGGAAACUGCCCGCCCUCUUGUCAAACUCCAAAACUGCUGUCGUCGUAGAAGAUCGGAGUCCGGGCUGGGGGGUAAGCUUCUAGUCCGUGAGGGAGACAACCCAGACCAUGGUUAAGGUCCCCAAGUGUCGGCUAAGUGUUAACACUAAAGGGCGUCCCAAGCCCCAGACAACUGGGAGGUGAGCUUAGAAGCAGCUAUCCUUUAAAAAGUGCGUAACAGCUUACCAGUCGAGGUUUGGGGCCCCGAAAAUGGACGGGGCUCAAGCCGACCACCGAUACCAUCAAUGGAGCAUCGCAAGAUGAUCUUGUAGGAAGGCGUCCCGUGUGGGUAGAAGCAUGGCUGUAAGGUCAUGUGGACCGCAUGGGAACGAAAAUCCUGGCAAUAGUAGCAGCAUAGUUCCGUGAGAAUCGGAACCGCCGAAAGGGCUAGGUUUCCUCGGCAAUGUUCGUCAGCCGAGGGUUAGUCGGUCCUAAGACAUAUCGUAAUUCGAGUAUGUCAAAUGGAAAACAGGUUAAUAUUCCUGUACCACUCAACCGUAUCGCAUUAGCGACCUGACGCCUCAGGGCAGACCAGGCAGCGCCGUCGCGCUGUUCAAGCGUUGAAAUCCACGGAGAGCCGUAAUGGUGAGAAGUGGAUGAAUGCGUGAUGACGAAAGCUGGUUGACCCCAGGGGCCCGUGAAAAGGGGGGUCGAGUGGCCGUACCGAGAUCUGACACAGGUGCCCCUAGUUGAGAAGACUUAGGCGUGUCGGUAUACUCUAGCUAAGGGAAUUCGGCAAAUUAGCUCCGUAACUUUGGGAUAAGGAGUGCCUGCUGUGAAAACAGCAGGUCGCAGUGACGAGGGAGCUCUAACUGUCUAAUAACAACAUAGGUGAUCGCCAACCCGUAAGGGCUAGUACGAUCACUGAAUCCUGCCCAGUGCAGGUAUCUGAAACCUCCGUACAAGGAGACGAAGGACCUGUCAACGGCGGGGGUAACUAUAACCCUCUUAAGGUAGCGUAGUACCUUGCCGCUUAAUUGGCGGCUUGCAUGAAUGGACUAAUGAGAGCUCUACUGUCCCUAGCUAGAAACCGGUGAACUUUACGUCCCAGUGCAGAGUCUGGGGACCCCUAAUGGGAAGUGAAGACCCCGUGGAGCUUUACUGCAGCCUGUCGCUGGGUUGUGGUUUUAGAUGUAUAGCGUAGGUAGGAGGCGUCGAAACUCGGCCGCCAGGUCGAGUGGAGCCAACAAUGAAACACUACCCCUCUAGAACUACGCCCCUAACUCCGAGAGGAGGACACCGAUAGGUGGGCAGUUUGGCUGGGGCGGUACGCCCUUGAAAAGAUAUCAAGGGCGCCCUAAGGUUGACUCAAGUGGGUCAGAAAUCCACUGUAGAGCGCAAGAGCAUAAGUCAGCCUGAUGUGAUUCUACAUAGCAAGGGAUCACGAGACGAAAGUCGGGUCUAGCGAACCAAUAUGCCUCCUUGGUGGGGGCUAUUGAUGACAGAAAAGCUACCCCGGGGAUAACUGAGUCGUCACCGGCAAGAGUACAUAUCGACCCGGUGGCUUGCUACCUCGAUGUCGGUUCUUUCCAUCCUGGCCGUGCAGCAAAACCUUUUAAGGUAAAAGCUUUACCAAAAGCACAGAACCUAAAGGUUCUGUAUGCGGCCAAGGGUGAGGUUGUUCGCCUAUUAAAGGAGAUCGUGAGCUGGGUUUAGACCGUCGUGAGACAGGUCGGUUACUAUCUAUUAGGGGUGUAUUGAGGUCUGAGGGAAAGUUGCCUUUAGUACGAGAGGAACAAGGCAACGGUGCCUCUGGUCGAUCGGUUGUCCGACAGGGCAUUGCCGAGCAGCUACGCACUAAGGGAUAAGGGCUGAAAGCAUCUAAGCCCGAAACCCGUCCUGAAAAGAGACUUCUAAAGGACAUUCUUAGAAGAAGAGUUUGAUAGAGUCGGGAUGUAAGCACCAAG